rnacentral:rRNA from 1 species
UACGAAGGGGGCUAGCGUUGCUCGGAAUCACUGGGCGUAAAGCGCACGUAGGCGGAUUGCUAAGUCAGGGGUGAAAUCCUGGAGCUCAACUCCAGAACUGCCCUUGAUACUGGCGGUCUCGAGUCCGGGAGAGGUGAGUGGAACUGCGAGUGUAGAGGUGAAAUUCGUAGAUAUUCGCAAGAACACCAGUGGCGAAGGCGGCUCACUGGCCCGGUACUGACGCUGAGGUGCGAAAGCGUGGGGAGCAUACAGG